UGGGGGUACGCUCUACACCCUUUGUGACAUACCUAUAACUGUUGCUUCGGCGGGUAGGGUCUCCGCGACCCUCCCGGCCUCCCGCCUCCGGGCGGGUCGGCGCCCGCCGGAGGAUAACCAAACUCUGAUUUAACGACGUUUCUUCUGAGUGGUACAAGCAAAUAAUCAAAACUUUUAACAACGGAUCUCUUGGUUCUGGCAUCGAUGAAGAACGCAGCGAAAUGCGAUAAGUAAUGUGAAUUGCAGAAUUCAGUGAAUCAUCGAAUCUUUGAACGCACAUUGCGCCCGCCAGCAUUCUGGCGGGCAUGCCUGUUCGAGCGUCAUUUCAACCCUCAAGCUCUGCUUGGUGUUGGGGCCCUACAGCCGAUGUAGGCCCUCAAAGGUAGUGGCGGACCCUCCCGGAGCCUCCUUUGCGUAGUAACUUUACGUCUCGCACUGGGAUCCGGAGGGACUCUUGCCGUAAAACCCCCCAAUUUUCCAAAGGUUGACCUCGGAUCAGGUAGGAAUACCCGCUGAACUUAAGCAUAUCAAGGGGGGGGAGAAAAACA
rnacentral:rRNA from 1 species